GUCAUGUACAAGACGGUAUGAGAUUAAAUAAUAACAAUGCCACAUUAUUUAGUGGUGCCAGUAAUGACAGUAAUGUGCACCCUGCAGGUACUGAGUGGCGGGCAGCCAACAACGCAGCGUCUCCUGAACCCCCUAGAGAUCUUUCCACAACAGGAUCUACAUUCUCUGCAAGGCACCAUGUUCUUUUCUGGCCAUCUCAGGAUGGCGUGUAUGCUCAACAGCACUGAGGAGAUUUAAGCUACUGUGGUUGAAGCAAAGACAGACAUGUUUGAAUUCACCCACAAGGGACGUUUCUGGGAAUACCAGCAGAUUCAAGACAGUAGUCUCCAGGUUCAUGUAUUACAUGGACCCCAAUGAGCCGAUCCUGAAUUUUGUGUGAGUCAGAGACAGAACACCCAACUGCCCUCCCACGACCCUUAUCUUAAUUUGGCCCUGACAUCUGCAGAGGAAGAGGCCCUUAUUUCUUUUAUUUUUUUGGAUGGCAGAUCCCAAUUACAAGAUCCAUAGUAAAAGCACUUGCUAUUGGAAUCAAAGAGAGUGGAAGAUCCGAGAGCACCACUGUAAAUCUGAGAAGGGGCCAAGUGAUGUCUGGUGGUCCAGGUUCAAGCCCGCCAUCCUGAAUUGACCUCACAGGUGGCAGAUUCCCAGGACAGAGCUAAAGUUCAUGGUGCUACACCAGAGGCCAUUGAAGGUUUCUUCAACCUGUAUGAGGCCCUCUAUGUGAAGCACAGUUUGGAGGACAAGCCACUGCUCAUCUACAACUGUGAUGAGACUGGCUUUGGAGACGAGCCUCUGUCCAGGGAGAAGGUCCUGUGACAGACUGGGAGAAAAAACCCCAUCUACCAACAGCAGAUAACCAGGCAGCACAUCACUGCACUGCUGUGUGAAUGCCUCCCAAGCAAUGCCUAUAGGCUGGAUAUCGACAGAGGCUGUGCUCUCUGCCUUAGAGUGAUCCCACCUGGCUCAGAAGAUGAGGCCAUUGACAAAUGGGUCCAGUGUGAUUUGUGCCAUUUGUGGUUCCACUUAAAGAGUGCGCAGCUUUAAUAUAUCCAAUUAUACUAGCCUGGGUAAAUGUCUCCAUUUCAAUAGCCUGGCAAGAGAGUGAGGGCCUCUCUGGGCUCGAUUGCUCCUGUCUGCCUCUCUGCCUCGCUGCCUUGAGUGAACUGCUGCCUGCUGCCUGACCUACGCUUCCCGCACAUCACCCUUGCCCCAGGCACCGGCAAGCGACCGAGACAUCCAGCUAGCGAGUCCCGUGUGCGAUGCAGUUUUUCGGACGGCGAGGGGAGUCAGACUACUCUACAAAAACACGGUCAGUCAUGUCCGACGAUUAUCAUGUGUAUUAAAUGCAACAUGUAUAGCUUAGCUCUUUCUGUCAGCAGUGAGACUUACACAUGUGAUAAAUGCAGGGAUAUUGUCAGGCUGACAGAGAGAA